GCGGGAAUAGCUUAGGUGGUUAGAGCACACACAGUGUGUGAAGACACGAGUUCGAAUCUUGUUUCCCGCU
rnacentral:tRNA from 1 species